rnacentral:snRNA from 1 species
ACUGGUUGAGCCAGAUGGA